rnacentral:rRNA from 1 species
GACGGGGGAUGCAAGCGUUAUUCGGAAUCACUGGGCGUAAAGCGUCUGUAGGCGGUGAUGCAAGUCACUGGUGAAAAACUCUGGCUCAACCGGAGGAAAGCCAGUGAAACUGCAUGACUAGAGUGUGGGAGAGGUAGAAAGAAUUCCCUGAGUAGCGGUGAAAUGCGUAGAUACAGGGAAGAACACCGGAGGCGAAAGCGUUCUACUGGAACACAACUGACACUGAGGUGCGAAAGCUAGGGGAUCGAAUGGG